GAUGAACGCUGGCGGCGUGCCUAAUACAUGCAAGUCGAGCGAACAGACGAGGAGCUUGCUCCUCUGACGUUAGCGGCGGACGGGUGAGUAACACGUGGAUAACCUAACUAUAAGACUGGGAUAACUUCGGGAAAACGGAGCUAAUAGCGGAUAAUAUAUUGAACCGAAUUGUUCAAUAGUGAAAGACGGUAUUGCUGUCACUUAUAGAUGGAUCCACGCCUCAUUAGAUAGUUGGUAAGGUAACGGCUUACCAAGGCAACGAUGCGUAGCCGACCUGAAAGCGUGAACUGCCACAGUAGAACUAAGGCGCGAUCCAGACUCCUACGGGAGGAAUCACUGUGGACUCCUCCGCAAUGGGCCAAAGCCUGACGGAGAAACUGCUCGUAAGUGAUGACGGUCUUCUAAUCGUAAAACUCUGUUAUUAGCUACGAACAAAUGUGUAAGUAACUAUGCACGUCUUAACGGUACCUAAUCAGAAAGCCACGGCUAACUACGUG
rnacentral:rRNA from 1 species